GAUGAACGCUGGCGGCGUGCCUAAUACAUGCAAGUCGAGCGAACAGACGAGGAGCUUGCUCCUCUGACGUUAGCGGCGGACGGGUGAGUAACACGUGGAUAACCUACCUAUAAGACUGGGAUAACUUCGGGAAACCGGAGCUAAUACCGGAUAAUAUAUUGAACCGCAUGGUUCAAUAGUGAAAGACGGUUUUGCUUUCACUUAUAGAUGAAUCCGCGCCGCAUUAGCUAGUUGGUAAGGUAACGGCUUACCAAGGCGACGAUGCGUAGCCGACCUGAGAGGGUGAUCGGCCACACUGGAACUGAGACACGGUCCAGACUCCUACGGGAGGCAGCAGUAGGGAAUCUUCCGCAAUGGGCGAAAGCCUGACGGAGCAACGCCGCGUGAGUGAUGAAGGUCUUCGGAUCGUAAAACUCUGUUAUUAGGGAAGAACAAAUGUGUAAGUAACUAUGCACGUCUUGACGGUACCUAAUCAGAAAGCCACGGCUAACUACGUG
rnacentral:rRNA from 1 species